CUUGCCAUAGUUUCAUUGAAAAGAAUUACUAGAGUAUACAGGCCAAUGGGAAGGGCAGGAGUCCCUUAGGAUAAUCAUAGCUGUUCCCACUACACUCUUCAAGGUCUUUUGUUCUUCCUUUCUCAUUAGAACAUGACAGCAGCUCUGAGGGGUCAGUGUUGGGAGCCAAUGAGAAAGCUGAAUUUAAGUGACUCACCGGGACCCUUGGGAUUCUUCAGAUGGAGAACUUGGCUGUGAAGGGACCUAUCAAUUUGGGCUCCUUCCAGAACUGAAAACUGGUUACAAAUAUGAAACAGAUUUAACUACUGGACUUGAACUCCACAUAAGGAAAAAAAAAAAGAAGAAGAUCCUCAAAGAUCCUCAUCAAAGAAUAGAUGCAGUGUGACUGGCAGGGAUAUCAAAGAGGUUGUAGGGAACAAAGCCAAAGGGACAGGGGAAGAUAGGGGGAGGCAAGCACCCAGAGCUGAUCCCCAGCUGUGCCUUCUCCAGGCACGAAGCCCAAACUCCCACGGUUUUCUCAGCAAUUUAGCAACUAGGAAAAGCUGGCAAAAAAACGAUACCCUGUGAUCCAAAAGAAUGACUGCCCUGCCAGAAGGUGCACUAAAAUCUACGUCCUGUCCUUUUGUCCACCGUGCUUUCUCUACUGCAUUUGCCCUCAGUGACCCGAUUGCCUCCAUUGUAACUGAAGGUGGGGGUCCAGCUGCUUGCUGCUCAACAGCCAAUAAGGAGGCAAGGUUGGUGGAAAUGAAAGUUUGCUGUAUUUUGGAUGCUAGCAAUGGGUUUGGGGGUGGGGCAGACUCCUGUCCAAAGGCUGACUCCCCUCAAAUAACAAUCAGUGAGCAAGAGCUUUGAGAGAUGGAGGGAGGGGCUACAUGUAGAAAGAGCACAGACAGUGCUGACAGUAAUCAUCAGUAGUGUGGUGGUCUGAUCAGUGUCAUCUUGAGUGUUUUCAGUACAGUUAAUCUUCAAUUCCAGGGUCAGUUUGUUCCAAUUUCUUUGAGGCCAGCUCUCAGAAUUGUGACUGCUUAUGUCAUGGCUACAGUCCUGUCAUCUUGUAGUUAGCUUCUUCUACCUGGUGGGAGUUUUAAUAUCUAUAAAAGCUCAAGGAAUAUAGCUCAGAAUAUUGUCUAUAGCCUUUGAGAAGGAACUAAAGAUCCUUGACUUUGUUCAAUGACUGAAUUAUUAUUAUUUGAUCUCUUUUGACUGUUUUCCUUUAUUUCUGCCUUUUCUCACUUCUCUGAUUACACUUGUAUUUUGGCUAAAGUUUUUCCUCAGACAAAAGGCAGACUGAGGACAUGGGGGCUAAGGGCCCCAAGGUUCUGCUCCAUUUCACCCUGACCUGGAACUCAUCGCUCCUCCUUGUCCUACUGCUGAGCAAUUCAGAGCUCCUAGUUCAACUGACUUGAAUAGAACUGAAUUUAAUGUUUCCCUUCAAUGCAUUUCUGAUAAUGUUUUUAUGAGGAAACACACAGCAAGCUUCACAGAAGCUUCGCUUCACUUCAGUUCCUUAGUGUGAGCAUUUUAAACCCAGUGUUCUCUGACCCCCCUCAGGUCUUUAUCAGUGGGCACAUGAGGCAGUGUCUCUGGGUCACCCAAAGUAAGAAAAGGCUUUCCAGGUGGCACAAAUGGUAAAGAACCCACUUGCCAAUGCAGGAGACAUAAGAGAUGCGGGCUCAAUCCCUGGGUGGGGAAGAUCACCUGGAGGAGGGCAUAGCAAACCCACUCCAGCUGCCUGGAGAAUCCCAUAGACAGAGGAGCCUGGUGGGGUACAGUCGAUAGGAUUGUAAAGAGUUGAACACAACUGAAGUGACUUAGAACACCAUGUAAGAAAAUGUCAUCAUGAUUAGAUUUC
rnacentral:lncRNA from 1 species